GCGGAUUGGGGCAGCGCGUGCCGGAAGCCGGCCGCCGCCAUCUUGGUAAAGGACGGGGACACCGCCCAGCCGCCCGCCCACCAUCUUGGCAAAGGGUCUGGGUAGCGGGUGGCCGAAGUCGUUGUUCCUCUCCCCGAAGGGUGAACGCUGCUCCGUGCGUUGUCCAAUAUGAAAGGAAAGAACUAGGCUUUUGGCAAGCCGCCUGUCCGGAGCCCGUCUACACGGGCAGCCUCCAGACCGUUUUGGGCCGCCAUCUUGGCAAAGGAAGCGACGCUCCCCGCCGCGGGAAAACGGGAACCAAAGCGUUUGCCAAAGUAGAAGCCUCAGCCAGUAGAGUUUUUAUGAAGGGCGCUCAACAGUCCACUUGUUAACCAAAGCUCCUUCUGGAUCCAGAAGCGAUGCCUCCUCUUUGCCUUUUCUUUGGAGCAAGUCAACUAGGAGGAGGCCCUUGCCUUGGAUGCUCAUAGUGGACCCUAAGUGAGAAUUUACUCCCAGAACCAUACUUUGCCUACUUGCCAGUUUCUCCACCUUCUGAGUCUUAGUGCUAGAAUCACAUGUCUUUCGUGGGUUCAGUCCCCAAACCACCAAUAGUUUCAGGGGGGAAAAUCAAGACCUAAACCUACAAUAGUAUGUUAUCCAUCUUUUAAAAGUCUAAAGCCUUUGUGAACCCACUGACUGGAGUUCGAGGUCCUUAUUCAUGUAUAAACUACACCCACGGCAUCAGGACAGCAUAGCAGUUAAGAGCCAGACUGGCUGGCUGGCCUCGAGCACUAUGAGGAAUGUAAGCUUGGGCAACCUAACUCUCUGUGCCUCAGUUUCCAUCAUCUGUAGAAUGCAGAUGACAAUAGUACUAACUCAAGUUAUUGUAAAUAUUUAACAAUUUUGAUAUAUGUGAAGUGCUUUGACUAAUUCCUGGGACAUAUUAAGUGUUUAAUCAUCUUUAGCAAUUGUUAUUAAUAUAUAGUAUUACUAUUUCCCCAGUUUUUAAAAAAG
rnacentral:lncRNA from 1 species